UAGAAGAGGAAGACACCAGAGCUGUCCCUCUCUCGGCUUGCACUAAGGAGGAGGUCACGUGAGCACACAGUGAGAAGGCGGAGGACCAUCUGCAAGCAGGAAGAGAGCCCUCGCUAGAACCCCCCACGGUGGCAUCUGAUAGUGGACUUCUAGCUUCCAGAACUGAACUCAUAAAUGUCACAUCAGGCUGCCUCUUGGUGAAUUUUUAAUCAACGGGGAGAAUUUCAGCUACAAAUAGACCAAGAAUCAAGAGGCCCACUAUUGAUCGGUCAAAGUGGCACUUAUGAACCUGAGGUUGAAGCAGUUUGGAUAAAAGGAUUCUGGGCUUUCGAUGGCCCCAGAGACAUCUUUUUCCAUCAAGUCCAGUAAGAUCACUCCGGCUAUUACAUGGAGGGUGGACUGAAGGAACAAGGACAGGGAACAGGAAUGGCAGUAAAGAAACCAGGAGACUAUUGAGAUGAUCCUGACAAGAAAUGGCAACUUGGACUACGGCAGUGGCAAUAGAGUUCAUCCCUUUCCCCACAUCUCAGCAUCAUAUAGCAAGAGUUGCAUGGGGCCUCAUGGCCCAGUGGGGCCCAGGCUCGAACAAAUUUGCGGAGAAGUUUUGCAGCCUGCUGCCACCUCUGGGCUCUGCUGCUGCACAAACAGGGACUAUUCGUGGAAGCUGUUUGGCUCAUCACUGAACCUAAGUGUCUGGGGAGCUUCAGGGCCUCAGUGGCCUAAGGCUUCAUGAGCCCUUCUGCUUAGAGAGUUAAUGCCUGAGACUAAAAUCUGGGGUAACGGGACAGAUUUCUGCUCAGCAGCAAAAGCUGCCCCAGCCUUCCUUAUAAAAUGGAGACUGCAAAUAAAGUUCAUUGUUUCC
ensembl:lncRNA novel transcript